GGGGAUAUAGUAUAACCUGGCAGAAUAGGGGCCUCCAGAGCCUUAGAUCUGGGUUCGAAUCCCAGUAUCCCCA
rnacentral:tRNA from 1 species